UUUUGCUCAUUCUUUAUUCUAAAUCUGCAAAAUAAAAUAAAAAUCAAUGUUGUAGACAAGUGCCAUGUGGUGUAUCAUGACAACUUAUGAUGACAAAGGAUAAUCCAAAAUUGAGCCAUUGUGAUUGUUUUAUUCAAAAUAUAUAUGUUAAAAGAUUGGUAAAAUGCUGGAAAUUUAUCAUAACUCGCAGACAACCUUUAUCAACUGUAACAAUAUCAUUUACAUUUAUAGUAAAAGAAUAACAGUAAAAAAAGCAAAAACUAUUUUACAUGCAUCUCAUCCCAUUUAAACAAUUAUAAUACAUGUAUACAAAUAGAACAAACACACUAAGCACCACAAUAACAUUUACAAAUAAUGUGCUCAAAAAUACAAAUAAACUGUGCUUUAAUCAUUAUGAAAAUAGAGUAACUAUACAAAUAUAUCAUAAGGUAGUAUAAAACUAAGAGUGCAGUAGUUCUAAUCACCUGCAAGAAUGAUAAAUGUGAUGCUACCAAAUAUUCUUCAGGUAUUACAUUUAAUAUUUAUUUCAUAAUAAAUAAAUUUGGUGUUUUUACUGUCUUCUGAUUGGUUAAAAUCAUUAGUUUUAUUUUCAAUGUUGUAAAUUUUGAUGGCGACACGCCCACUCUGACGUUGUGUAUUCAUACGCCAACAUGU
rnacentral:lncRNA from 1 species